GGGGGGUGCAAGCGUUAAUCGGAGUUAUUGGGCGUAAAGGGUUCGUAGGUUGUUUAUUAAGUUAUGUGGGAAAUACCUGGGCUUAACCUAGGAAUGUCGGAUAAUACUGAUGAACUUGAGUAUAGUAGAGGGUAGUGGAAUUUCCGGUGUAGCGGUGAAAUGCGUAGAGAUCGGAAGGAACACCAGUGGCGAAGGCGGCUACCUGGACUAAUACUGACACUGAGGAACGAAAGCGUGGGUAGCAAACAGGAUUAGAUACCCUGGGUAGUCCACGCCGUAAACGAUGUCAACUAGCUGUUGGGUAAAUGAAUUUACUUAGUGGCGCAGCUAACGCGAUAAGUUGACCGCCUGGGGAGUACGGUCGCAAGAUUA
rnacentral:rRNA from 1 species